rnacentral:rRNA from 1 species
GAUGAACGCUGGCGGCGUGCUUAGCACAUGCAAGUCGAACGGUGAAGCCCAGCUUGCUGGGUGGAUCAGUGGCGAACGGGUGAGUAACACGUGAGCAACCUGCCCUGGACUCUGGGAUAAGCGCUGGAAACGGCGUCUAAUACUGGAUAUGAGACGUGGCCGCAUGGUCAACGUUUGGAAAGAUUUUUCGGUCUGGGAUGGGCUCGCGGCCUAUCAGCUUGUUGGUGAGGUAAGGGCUCACCAAGGCGUCGACGGGUAGCCGGCCUGAGAGGGGGACCGGCCACACUGGGACUGAGACACGGCCCAGACUCCUACGGGAGGCAGCAGUGGGGAAUAUUGCACAAUGGGCGGAAGCCUGAUGCAGCAACGCCGCGUGAGGGAUGACGGCCUUCGGGUUGUAAACCUCUUUUAGCAAGGAAGAAGCUUUUGUGACGGUACUUGCAGAAAAAGCGCCGGCUAACUACGUGCCAGCCGCCGCCGUAA